GAGGGUAUAGCUCAGUGGUAGAGCACAUGCUUAGCAUGCAUGAGGUACUGGGUUCAAUCCCCAGUACCUCCA
rnacentral:tRNA from 1 species